rnacentral:tRNA from 11 species
GCGAGCGUGGUGGAAUUGGUAGACACGCCAGAUUUAGGUUCUGGUGCCUUUGGUGUGAGAGUUCGAGUCUCUCCGCUCGCACCA